CAGUUCGGAUUGUAGUCUGCAACCCGACUACAUGAAGCUGGAGUCGCUAGUAAUCGCGGAUCAGAAUGCCGCGGUGAAUACGUUCCCGGGUCUUGUACACACCGCCCGUCACACCAUGGGAGUCGGAAAUGCCCGAAGUCUGUGACCCAACCUACGGGAGGGAGCAGCCGAAGGCAGGUCGGAUGACUGGGGUGAAGUCGUAACAAGGUACC
rnacentral:rRNA from 1 species